GCAAGCGUUGUUCGGAUUUACUGGGCGGAAAGGGCGCGUAGGCGGUCAGCACAAGUCAGUUGGGAAAUCUCCGGGCUUAACUCGGAAAGGUCAACUGAUACUGUGCGACUAGGGUGCGGAAGGGGCAACUGGAAUUCUCGGUGUAGCGGUGAAAUGCGUAGAUAUGACAUAGAACACCAAUUGCGAAGGCAGCUUACUACAGCGAUAUUGACACUGAGGCACGAAAGCGUGGGGAUCAAACAGG
rnacentral:rRNA from 1 species